rnacentral:rRNA from 1 species
CACGUAGGGCGCGAGCGUUGUCCGGAAUUAUUGGGCGUAAAGAGCUCGUAGGCGGCCUGUUGCGUCCGCUGUGAAAGCCCGGGGCUUAACCCCGGGUCGGCAGUGGAUACGGGCAGGCUAGAGGUAGGUGAGGGGAGAAGUGAAUUCCCGGUGUAGCGGUGAAAUGCGCAGAUAUCGGGAGGAACACCGGUGGCGAAGGCGGUUCUCUGGGCCUUACCUGACGCUGAGGAGCGAAAGCGUGGGGAGCGAACAGG